GCGGGGGCAGCGCGGGCUGGGGCCCCUGGGUGCCCCUCCCGGCGCUCACGGCUGGGCCCUUACCAGAUGGUGGCGAAGCAGCCAGUGUGGCGCUGAAGCACGUUGGGAUAGUAGAACAUCGUCCCACCGGGCUUUCACCCUCGUCCCCACCACUCCUCCGCUGGAUCUCGGUCUCGAUCCGAGUCCUUUGUGGCACUGGGCUUCCCGACAGCGUCGGGGCAAAGGCUUUGGAGAGGCGGCACCCCGGGUGGCCCCCAGGACGCCAGGCCAGUGAUACUGAUGAACAAAGAUGCAAAAGCCCUCGACAAGAUAUUAGCAAACUGAAUCCAAUAAUACACUAAAAAAAAAAUCAUUCGUCACAAUCAAGAAGGAUUUAUUCCUGGGUUGCAAGUGUGGUUCAAUAUUUGCAAAUCAAUCAUGAUGUGUCAUAUUGUUAAGGAUAAAAAACAUAUGGUCAUUUCAAUAAAUGCAGAAAAAGCA